UGACGAGUGGCGGACGGGUGAGUAAUGUCUGGGGAUCUGCCCGACAGAGGGGGAUAACCACUGGAAACGGUGGCUAAUACCGCAUAAUCUCGAAAGAGCAAAGAGGGGGACCUUCGGGCCUCUCACUGUCGGAUGAACCCAGAUGGGAUUAGCUAGUAGGUGGGGUAACGGCUCACCUAGGCGACGAUCCCUAGCUGGUCUGAGAGGAUGACCAGCCACACUGGAACUGAGACACGGUCCAG
rnacentral:rRNA from 1 species